UACGGGGGGGGCAAGCGUUGUUCGGAAUUACUGGGCGUAAAGGGCUCGUAGGCGGCCAACUAAGUCGGAUGUGAAAUCCCCAGGCUUAACCUGGGAACUGCAUCCGAUACUGGAUGGCUUGAAUCCGGGAGAGGGAUGCAGAAUUCCAGGUGUAGCGGUGAAAUGCGUAGAUAUCUGGAGGAACACCGGUGGCGAAGGCGGCGACCUGGGACGAUACUGACGCUGAGGUGCGAAAGCGUGGGGAGCAAACAGG
rnacentral:rRNA from 1 species